GAGAGCCUGCAGGGGGGUUGCGGGGAGAGCAGGCUUGACCCACUCUCCCUGCACAUGAGCAGUCAGCUUGCCCUCGGUGGCCAUAUUGGCUGCCCACAUGAUUACCGGCUCCGUCACUGAGCUGGUAAUCAUGUGGGGCAGCAGGGAUCAGGGGGCUCCUGGCCCCCAGGUGUCCCAGAAUGCCCCAUGCAAGUGCAUUCUUCUCAUUAGAUUUCAGCAGGAGUCACAUCCUCCUGACCUCAAAAAUGUGUGUGGCAGAAAAUUCAAGCACCUGCAGGAAUAGAGGAUGGCUGUCUAUUGUUAGCAGGCUUUAUCCUGACAUUGGUCUGUUAUUAAUUGAAAGUACAGUGGAGAGGAAUGCAGCAGUCCUGAGGGGAAAAGGAAUUUGACAGAGGAAAAGACAAGUCUUAUUUUAAGAUCAUGUUUUGUUUUCCAUCCAGAAUUGCUGUGGGUUUUCAUUAUCUUUGCAGGUGGCAACAUACCAGCUGCUAUUUAAGCUGUUUAUGUUGACACAUACAUCAGCUUACAUAGUGAGCUACAGAGACUCCAAUCAAAUCUGUGCUGAAGGAUAUGAAACCUAGAAUGUCAGGUGACAACCAGUAAUCUGCUGGGAUCUUUACACGUUAAAAAGAAGCAGCACAGCCUGACACAAUUAGAAGAGCUGUUUUCUUCUUAAGCAUCUGCAUCCCUUUAGUCAAUAAUAUGCUCUCCCUGGACUACUAAG